rnacentral:rRNA from 1 species
UAGUCCACGCCGUAAACGAUGUCAACUAGCCGUUGGGGGAAUUUAAUCCUUUAGUGGUGCAGCUAACGCAUUAAGUUGACCGCCUGGGGAGUACGCGCGCAAGCGUAAAACUCAAAGGAAUUGACGGGGCCCGCACAAGCGGUGGAGCAUGUGGUUUAAUUCGAUGCAACGCGAAGAACCUUACCAGCCCUUGACAUCCUGCGAACUUUCUAGAGAUAGAUUGGUGCCUUCGGGAACGCAGUGACAGGUGCUGCAUGGCUGUCGUCAGCUCGUGUCGUGAGAUGUGGGUUAAGUCCCGCAACGAGCGCAACCCUUGUCCUUAGUUGCCAGCACGUAAUGGUGGGAACUCUAAGGAGACUGCCGGUGACAAACCGGAGGAAGGUGGGGAUGACGUCAAGUCAUCAUGGGCCCUUAUGGGGCUGGGGCUACACACGUGCUACAAUGGCAAGUACAGAGGGUCG